AUCAUUUUUCGUGCAUCUUUAGAUAAGAAACUCUGUUCUUAUCAGCUUAAUAUCUGAUAUGUUAGGCAAUGCCUAACUCAUAUAUUAAACUGAUUUUUUGGACUUCGGCCAUGGGAUUGAAGCUUGCUUCGCCCUGGCCACGGGUUGUCUCGGUAUUGCACUACAUCCGAGUAUGGCCCCUUCCCC
rnacentral:snRNA from 1 species